rfam:Aspergillus bombycis strain NRRL26010 contig00075, whole genome shotgun sequence.
AGCAAGGUGGCCGAGUGGUCUAAGGCGCACGGUUCAGGUAUACCUGACCAUCAGAACUUCUCAGAAGUUUCCGUGUCAUUAAUUUGGCGUGGGUUCGAAUCCCACCCUUGUCA